CUCGAUAAAAAGCAACAUGUAACAGUUACUCAGUAAUUGAAAAUGUAAUGUUGUGUAUUAGUUAGCAUUUGGGAAUAAUUCUAUUGCAUUUUAUUGAAUAUAUUUAUUCUCUUGGAAUUAAUCGAUCCACCGAUUCAACCGACUAGCCUGGAUCGAUCUUUUAUACGCUGUUGAAAUCUAUCAUUUAUAUUUUAAUAUUUCUACAACACACAUGGAUCUUCUGGAAAUUGCGCAAAAACUUGUUGCUGCUCUUCAGUUCAAAUCUUCUGGCAUCCCUGAUCAUUGUUUUGUCGCUGUCAUGUCAGCAUCCAUCAUUCAGUCUUCAGUUUUAUUAAUUUAUUCCGCGGCUUUAGUCUCCAUUGUGUUGCUUGUCUCUGUUUAUCGGUUUUGAUCGUUUUGAUUGAGUGUUCACGAGUGAGGAAAUUACUUCUGCAUGGUACAAACCGUCGAAGCUAGCGGUCACUGUGGUUCCGUAGAAUUCAGGAAAGACAGCUGGCUUUUACCAUUUGCUAGAACAUAACGGAACUUCAAUGAAAUUUACAUCAAAGGAAGAUGGUGCAUUUGACCGCGAUGAGUAGUUGCUGGAGAAGUGAUUACUGAUGAUGCGGGAGGAGAGGAUGGAACAAUGUAGCUACAACAAAACGACAACACAGAAAAAGAAAGGUGUAAAAGAUUGUGUAUUAGGCCAUUUUCUGCAUAGUUUUAAGUUAUAUAUAUAUUGUUUAUUCAAAAGCAAGCUUAAUCUGUAAUCUGUAAAUCUGUAUUAGGACAUAAAAAAAGAUUCAACAUUAUGUAUUCCUACUGAAUGUACGAAAAUAGAAUGAUUUUUAUUUAAUAAAAGGCACCUUUUCAUCACA